UACGAAGGGGGCUAGCGUUGCUCGGAAUCACUGGGCGUAAAGCGCACGUAGGCGGAUCUUUAAGUCAGGGGUGAAAUCCCAAGGCUCAACCUUGGAACUGCCUUUGAUACUGGGGAUCUCGAGUCCGGAAGAGGUUGGUGGAACUGCGAGUGUAGAGGUGAAAUUCGUAGAUAUUCGCAAGAACACCAGUGGCGAAGGCGGCCAACUGGUCCGGUACUGACGCUGAUGUGCGAA
rnacentral:rRNA from 1 species